rnacentral:rRNA from 1 species
UACGUAGGGGGCCAGCGUUGCUCGGAAUUACUGGGCGUAAAGCGUGCGCAGGCGGUUUGUUAAGUCUGCUGUGAAAUCCCCGAGCUCAACUUGGGAAUUGCAGUGGAUACUGGCAAGCUGGAGUACGGUAGAGGAAGGUGGAAUUCCCGGUGUAGCAGUGAAAUGCGUAGAGAUCGGGAGGAACACCUGUGGCGAAAGCGGCUCACUGGACCAUUACUGACGCUGAGGCACGAAAGCUAGGGGAGCAAACAGG